rnacentral:rRNA from 1 species
UACGGGGGGGGCAAGCGUUGUUCGGAAUUACUGGGCGUAAAGGGUGCGUAGGCGGGUAUUUAAGUCAGGGGUGAAAUCCUGGAGCUCAACUCCAGAACUGCCUUUGAUACUGAUAGUCUCGAGUCCGGAAGAGGUGAGUGGAAUUCCGAGUGUAGAGGUGAAAUUCGUAGAUAUUCGGAGGAACACCAGUGGCGAAGGCGGCUCACUGGUCCGGUACUGACGCUGAGGUGCGAAAGCGUGGGGAGCAAACAGG